UGUAGCUCUAUAUACUGUACCUUUGGGUUUUUUUGUUCCUCUUCACCUCUGUUAUUAUAUAUAUUUUAUUAGUUAAACUUUCAGGACACUUUCUAAAUGUGUAGUAUCAUAUUUUUCUUUAGAACUUAAAAGGUUCAUUUACAGUAUUUUUGUUUGUAUGGGACCCCUGCGACCCUGGUGACCGAAAAAUACAGCAUGUAAUUACAAUUUGUAUCAGAGUGCACACGCACAAGGAGUUGAAUUCACAUUGUAUGUGAAACUUUCUGACACUUCCAAACGUCUGAGUGAUGUUCCUGUAACCUUAUCAUUUUCAAAUAAGUGUUCCAAUAUAAAACAGGCAAUGCAAAGUUUAGUUUAGACUAGUUCGACUUUUCUGGGGGAGCUGUGAUAGCCGGGAAGUGCCUUCUGGAACCUGUUCCACUUGUUAGCUGCUAUUUGCAUUCCUGUAAUUCUUUCAGUGCAAACAAUCCCCCCAGCACCGCCCCCAUGAAGUUCACAGUGGUAGAAAUCAUCUACCAAAAGGCUCAAACCUUUUAAGGCAGAGACAAGAGGCUAAUCCUCUGUUCCCACAUUUGCAUUGCCAAGUAAAGUAAGCAGCUCACCUAAAGUCUAGGGAAAAAGUCCUUUCCCAGGUAGAAGCCUUUCCCAGUCUAUUAAAUGUAACUGAGUGCACAACGAGGAAUCUGCUAAUCUGCUCUCCUUUAGGUUGUAUGUUGUAAUGAUUGCCUUGUUGGGUUUUUAGUAUCAUUAUUAUUUAUUUCAUUUUUUUAACACAGAUGUGUCAUCGGCCUCUGCUACUCAGUCCCUGAGCUGAAGUAUCUGUAGACUGCUUUCUAUCUGGUCCUUUGCUUUUCAAAUCCUCCCUGGGUGUUUAGAUGCAGGAGUGAAAGCUCCCUCUGGAGCAGUAGUCAGUGUCCUUGAAGCCGUCAGUGAGGAUUUCUCUGGACAUCGCAAGGCUCACAGAGACGGGCAUGUGGAAUCUUGGGCUAGGUGCAAAAAGAGCUGCAUAGGAAAAGGGUGCAAGGCCAUUUACAAGGUAAUGACCAUGUUUUUCUGCUUUCCAGUGAAUAACCUCUAAGUAGUCUCAUGUUGUUAGUAUUCUACUGGUAACAAGUUACCUACGCUAUUCCUGAUUUGGAUGAUGUUGCUCUCUUAAACAUCUUUCUCUAUACACACACACGGUUGUGCACGCAUGCGCGCGCGCGCGCACACACACACGCCCCUACUAAAAAUUUUCUGUUGAGAUCCCUGACAGCUAAGAAGUGUUAGAGACACCGCUGUGUGAACAUUAAAGAAAAACCUAUUCCAUGUCUCUUAUGAGACAACUGAAUAUAAAGCCUAUCAAUGCCUGAUAACAUGUGCUCUGAGCAACCAGUGCAGUGGAUGCUACAUCCUGAAAUACUUCAUGGUUGCUUUUAUUCCAUAGCUAGAAAGAAUUAGAGAAAAUUCUGAACAUCAUACUGUUGAGUACAUUUUUAUUUAUAAAAAGCCAUUGAAUUAUUAAAGUAGAAAAGAGUAAGAUGUUUCCCAUCACAGACUUUGCACGUCCAUCUUUUCAGUUAUCGUUCAGGAUUUUAUCUGACAUUUGAGUCGGAAAAAAGCACAAAAAUGAAUAUCGUGUUUGCUGUAUACACAGUCUUUAAUCAGUUUACACAUACUACACAUAUAACUGAAAGGAAUUGAAACAAUGAGAAAAGUAAGGAGUUGUUGGUUUCUUUUUCCUUCUAAACUGUAGUCUCCCUUCUCUUCUAGUAAAUGUUACUAAACAGUGUCUAUAGUGUCCUAAAGUUUCCCCUUUUGGAAGCUGUCUCAGGCUUGUGAAGGGGCUUCCUAGAAGCUUGAGUCUGAGGCUGAAAUUCAGAAGUUUGGCAUGUACCCUACAAAGCAGGCUUUGAAAAAAGCCUUUGCAACAAAGACUGAUCUCUGUAGCUUCAGAAAAUAUUGAAACUCCUAGCAACUCCUGUUCAUUUAGGUCUAGCUUUGAUAGGUAGUAACCCAGGCACCCUUGUAGUUUUAUCUUUGUUCAAAUAUGCAUUUUUAUGGGUAUAUUGCUCAUUGUUGCCUAUUGGUUGAAAUAU
rnacentral:lncRNA from 1 species